CAGCCGCCGCGGUAAUACGUAGGGUGCGAGCGUUAAUCGGAUUUACUGGGCGUAAAGCGUGCGCAGGCGGCCCGUUAAGACAGGUGUGAAAUCCCUGGGCUCAACCUAGGAAUUGCGCUUGUGACUGGCGGGCUCGAGUACGGUAGAGGGGGGUGGAAUUCCUGGUGUAGCAGUGAAAUGCGUAGAGAUCAGGAGGAACACCGAUGGCGAAGGCAGCCCCCGGGGCCUGUACUGACGCUCAUGCACGAAAGCGUGGGGAGCAAACAGGAUUAGAUACCCUGGUAGUCCACGCCCUAAACGAUGGGUACUAGCCGUUUGGUGCGCGAUAGCGCUGAGUGGCGAAGCUAACGCGUGAAGUACCCCGCCUGGGGAGUACGGCCGCAAGGUUGAAACUUAAAGGAAUUGGCGGG
rnacentral:rRNA from 1 species